CCCCGCGUUCGAGGCUGCGCGCGCCAGAUCCGCGAGCUUUACCGGAGCAGAGCGCACGGAGAGACCAGUCAACCGCGUCACGGUACCGGAGCGGAGCGAGCGCGCCGAGAAUCCAGUCAGCCGCAGCGCAGGACAGAGAGCGUCACGGUACCGGAGCGAGCGGGCGCUAUCAGGUCAGCACUUUACCUCACCUCAUCAGGUUACCGUGUUCCUGUGGCUUGGCAGAAGGUUCCCUGCUGCAUCUAAUGGAAAUCUUUCAGAGCUGGACUGGAUCUCCAGAGAUGUGUUUGGCCCCUCGUUUGACCCGUCUUCAACAUGUUUUAAAAAGUGAUCAAACCAGAGACUCGCUGUACGUUUGAACUGUUUAUGGAUUUGUUUUAAUUGAGAUGCAAACUGAGUCUCUAUUGUUCCCAUGAUUUGCAAAAUGAUCAAAUGGAAUGUUCCCUUAAUGUUUAUAUAACCAGUAAAAAACAUUUUGGAAACAUGUAAAAACUGGGCGAUUUGAACGCUGAGAGAACGUUCAGAAAUAUAAUUUUCACAACUUAGUGGGAACAUUAGCAAAAGGUUUUAAGAACGUAGAUUUGUUAGCUGGUAUUUUGACGGUAACUGUUGUUUCACUGGAUUUUCAGUGUUGACUCACUGUUUUGGUCCUCGUGUGUAAAUGCAGAUGUUCUUUCAGUCUAGAUGGAAUGAAGCGGAGCGUCUCUCAUCAGAUUUACUGCACAUUAUCAGCUUUUUUCUUUUCGUCUGUCACUGAAAUGAUUUAAUUUGAGAGUCUGCUUACUCUGUAUGGAUGCUGGGAACAGGAUUGCUUACAGAUUUGACCUCAGACGAGUUCAUAUGAGCAAUAGAGAGUUAAAGACGGCUGGAGAAAUGAACAAUCCCACAGACGCAGAGAGAUUAGGACCAUGAUCCUCUGCGCCGAACACUUAAAGCCUGGCGUUCUGCUCCUGCUCUCUGCUGGGCUUCGACCGUGUGUCUGUUAACCUGAGUUUAAAUCCAUCUUGAGCAAACCUUUUCAGAAAUGCUGCAGGACGAUGUAACGCUGAUGUCUGACACGUUCAUGUUUGGUUGAGUUUGUGAUGUUUCAUCAACGCUGUGGUGUGGCGUCAGCGCACAGAUUGUUUCACUAUUCCAACUGUGUCUAAUAAAGGCAACAAUUAAAAAAAUAUACAAAU
rnacentral:lncRNA from 1 species